GACAGAGGGGGCAAGCGUUGCUCGGAAUUACUGGGCGUAAAGGGCGCGUAGGCGGCCUUCUAAGUCAGACGUGAAAUCCCCCGGCUUAACCUGGGAACUGCGUCUGAUACUGGAGGGCUUGAGUGCGGGAGAGGGAUGUGGAAUUCCAGGUGUAGCGGUGAAAUGCGUAGAUAUCUGGAGGAACACCGGUGGCGAAGGCGGCAUCCUGGACCGAUACUGACGCUGAGGCGCGAAAGCUAGGGUAGCAAACGGG
rnacentral:rRNA from 1 species